AACAGAGAAGGCGGUUCUUGAUCUCGGGAGAUCGCCACGUUAUGCCUACUUCGCCUUCGCCUGCUCCAAUGCCCUCUUCCCUUCCUGUCUCCCGGAAGAGUACGCGUUGCCUGGUCGGCACGGGAUCUCGGAUCCCGGUGAUGAGGGCAUACGCUUCUUGGAUUGGCUCGGCUCUGCCUGCACAUCGGUUUGGCAGGAGGAAGCCCAGGGAAGAUGGAACACCUUUCUCAGGCCAGGUACCUCUACUUAUGGCAAUUCAAAUGGAGAACACUAAAUACUUUAAUGAAACCGGCUAGUAGUUUGAGGAACCAUUUCAGGUUGCAUCUUGGGUUUUUCUUAUAGGAGCAUCCCCUUGUCGGAGAGUAUGCUCUAUCUGAGACACAAAUGGAUCUUCUCCCUUAUGGUCUAAGGUGACUCAGAUAUGGUUAAAUAGGGAACCCUUAUUUAAAUUCAAGAAAAAAGGACAAGGAUGGCGUCAUCUUGACGUCCACAGUUGCAAAAACACAGUUGGACUCGAAACAGUUAAGACAAUGGGUAGUGAAUAUGGGAUACAUAAUGCUGAUGUUUCUCACCCGUAUGAUGCGUAGCUGCAGGUGAUCUCAUAUAUGCUAUUAUGGGAAGCAGAGUCUCUUUGUCAUGUAUCUAUGUAGAGAACAAGAUGACAAUAGAUAACACUCGAGGAACCAAAAGUCCUAUAUAAUCUUCCUCGCCACCGUUCCAGUCAGAGUGGCUUAAUAGAGAUUGAUGAAGGGAAGGGGAACAACAGGGUAGCGACAACUGCUUUACUGAUGGGAGAGGUACCAAUGUGAAUGAUUUAAGCUCCACCCACCAGCCUUCAUCCGCUAAUCAAGCUGAGUGCAUUCAACCUCUUCGAGAGCGUUUUGCGAUGGAUCUUUUUCAAACCUGGAUGUAAUUGCAGAACCGGUUAUUGCUUUGUGGAUGGGAAUGACACUAUAAUCACUCGAGGAAGCAGUACACAUCAGGCCUCCACCCCACUCCAAGCGGAAUGCUGAGCCAUUUGGUACGCUCCCACCAAAGCUUCACAAAUGACUUAUCGUAAUAUCAUUGUCAAAUCUGACUCUUUAGAGACUCUGCUGAUUUGUAAUAAAGUUGGUCGACAUGUAUUUUUUGUCAACUCCAAUCAGGCAAGAUUUUUUUGUCUUCCUCCAAUCAAGCAAGACUGCUACCGUUCCGGUUCUUACUUGAAAGUUGAAUUUUCUUUUAACAAAAUUCUUAUUUUU